GAUGAACGCUGGCGGCGUGCCUAAUACAUGCAAGUCGAGCGAGCAGACGAGGAGCUUGCUCCUCUGACGUUAGCGGCGGACGGGUGGGUAACACGUGGAUAACCUACCUAUAAGACUGGGAUAACUUCGGGAAACCGGAGCUAAUACCGGAUAAUAUAUUGAACCGCAUGGUUCAAUAGUGAAAGACGGUUUUGCUGUCACUUAUAGAUGGAUCCGCGCCGCAUUAGCUAGUUGGUAAGGUAACGGCUUACCAAGGCAACGAUGCGUAGCCGACCUGAGAGGGUGAUCGGCCACACUGGAACUGAGACACGGUCCAGACUCCUACGGGAGGCAGCAGUAGGGAAUCUUCCGCAAUGGGCGAAAGCCUGACGGAGCAACGCCGCGUGAGUGAUGAAGGUCUUCGGAUCGUAAAACUCUGUUAUUAGGGAAGAACAAAUGUGUAAGUAACUAUGCACGUCUUGACGGUACCUAAUCAGAAAGCCACGGCUAACUACGUG
rnacentral:rRNA from 1 species